rnacentral:lncRNA from 12 species
AUAAUAUUAAUUUAGUCAUAGUACAACAUUUCAUAUCACUGUUAUGCAGAUGAUUCUCAGCUUUACCUUCCAGUAAGGCUUGACACCACUGCUUCAUUUGAUGUGUUAUUGGAAUGUGUAGAUGAUAUCAAGAGGUGGAUGACGAAUAAUUUUUUGCAGCUAAAUGAGGAUAAAACAGAGGUUUUAAUUCUCGGUUGUCCGGCAGAUUCAUCUCCUGCUCUGAAAGCACAGUUAGGUCCUCUCUCAAAAAAUGUAUGCAAACAAAUCAAAAACCUUGGCUGGAUCUUUGACUCUUCACUAUUCUUUGAUAAACAAAUUAGUGCGGUUAUUAGAGGAAGCUUUUUCCAUUUAAGAUCUAUCGCAAAGUUGAAGAAUAUUCUUUCAAGCAAAGACUUAGAAGUUGCAAUUCAUGCUUUUGUAACAUCACGAUUAGAUAAUUGCAACUGUCUUUAUUGUGGUCUUCCUCAAUCUUCACUAUCUCGAUUACAAACUGUUCAAAAUGCAGCUGCAAGACUUUUGACUGGGUCUAGAAAGAGGGAUCUUAUUUCUCCUGUUUUGGCAUCCCUUCACUGGCUUCCCAUUAAGUUUCGAGUUGAUUUUAAGAUCCUCAUGUUUGUUUAUAAGGCGUUGUCUGGCUGUGCACCAAGGUAUAUUUGCGAUCUUAUUGUGCCAUACUGUCCUGCUAGGUCACUUAGAUCUUCAAAUCACUUGCUUUUAAAGGUGUCACAAAGUCGCUACAAAUUAAAGGGUGAUCGGGCCUUUUCUGUGGCUGGGCCCAAGCUUUGGAAUGCUCUCCCUUAUCAUGUGAGGUCUGCUCCUUCAUUGGACAUUUUUAAAUCUACUCUGAAAACACAUUUUUAUUCUUUAGCUUUUGGAAAUUUGUAAUUGUUGUUUUUUUUUAGUGUAGUCCUGCUAUGAACUAUGUACAGCAGUUUGGAUCAAUUUUUAUUGUGUUAAAUGUGCUUUAUAAAUAAAGGUUGUUGUUGUUGUUGUUGACACAAGAGUUUUUCCUCUAUAUGCAUUCAGCAGUGGCGUAGUUGAAUGGGGCAUAUACAUACUCAGUCCAACA